GGUGUACCCUGGUCCCCUCCAUGCUAUCGUUUGCCACCCGCGCUUGGAGUUGAGAACCUGUAGUAUUUUGAUACAGCGAAGUGUUUUGCAACUUUUAUCCUAGAGACCCAAAAUACGCCACCUCAAAAUACAUUUCUUUGACGUUUCAAAAUGGCUGUUCGGGGCAGGGCGUGAUGGCGCAACACUGUAAUUUCAGUACUCUCGGAGGGGAAGGCGGAAGAAGGACAAAUAUCAGCCCGGCAUUGGCAAUUUAGCAAUUCAGAGAGACCCUGUCACAAAAUAAAGGGCAACUAUAAUCUGUAAGGCUGCCCUCUUGUAAAGUAAAUUUACAUCUAGAAAGGAGAUCCCCCCAUUCCGGAAGUAGACGCAUGUAAACAGGCUUUUCUAUCUGAUACACCCUCUUUGUCUAAGAAAGGUCUUUUCCCCGGGAAAGGCUGGGUCAGAGCCUCGGCGCCGUUCACCGGCUGGGCGCUGCCCGAGGAGCUCGGGUGCCGAGAGCCCGGGCCCCAGCCCUCCACCAGCUCUGGGUGAGCGGCGCCUGGAAGUUCUCCUUUGAGACUCAUACUGUGUGAUUUAUUAGACUGUGUUUUGUACUUUAAUGUUUGUCUUUCUACUUGUUAAUCUGUUGUCUAUUUUCCGUACUAGAGCCUUUUUAUUAGUACAUGGUUGCAGUACACAGCGAUUACAUUCCUUUGGGGAGGUGGUCCAUGCACAUAAUGGUACAGGGGAAUGAAACUCCCGACCUACUAUGUCCGCGAGUUCCUGUUCUCUGAAAUUGAAGAAUGAAUUUUAGGAACAAUGGAGCUGCCGCCGCCGGUCCCCCACAGUUCUAUCAUAUAGUUCCUUGACUGGGAACAGCAGACGAGACUCCUGGGGUUCUCCCAGUUUGAGUCCCCUGCCAUUCAGGACCAGGACCGGACUACGUCCUGCAUUAAUUCCUCACUUCUACACUCGAGAGCUGUAAACUUGUUGCUGCUGGCUCGCAAACAACACCAACCCAAUUUACCACAGACCAUGCCUCAAAUGCAGCAGAAGACAUCGGGCAAGAGAGUGCCCCAUCUUGGUGUUCCUUUGGGACCUUAGCCCAGGGCUAUUGGACUGUCCUAGCCAUCAGGGAGUGGGUAAGCCAUCCUAACUUCCAGCCCUCAUAGGAAAUGCCAACACUGCCAGAUUCCUCGCCGACAGAUCUGCUUAAACUUGCUGCUGAAGACUGACUGGGCUCAGGGCCAACAACAGCCCCCUUUAUGGGUGUCCAUCUCAGAGUCCAAGUCCCACUAAAAGUCUCAGGCUGAAGACACCAAGAUAAGAGUAACUAUUUUCAAGAUUUAUGGAAACAUCUAAUUGCCAGCUCUUCCAUGUCUGCUUCCAGAGUUCACGCAUGAUGCCUAAAAGUUUCCAUGGUUCAAAAACUGCAGUCACCCCAACUUCCAGGAAAAGCAGAACCUCAGAGACCACGCACAGGUCACUCCCCAUAUGGGAGCACAGAAACCAAGGAUGCUCCCCUAAGCCAAGCUUUGAGCUCAAGAUGAGAAUCGACCUCCUUCACUUAAGUAGCUGUCCCAGAACUUCACAGAGCUGUACUUAAGAAACAACUCAGCCAGACCACAACUAGAGCAGGAGGCAAUGAACUGCAGCUAUGCAAAUUCCAGCCCUCACCUUUGUUCCCCUUUUCUAUAAACCCCAAGAUUCUGUCAGUCCCUUGAAGACAGAUCUGAAAACUCACUCUGCUUUGCACUAUGGCCACAUUGUAUAAAUUUCCCUUGCUGGUG